rnacentral:sRNA from 1 species
AGCCAGUCAGUCCGGGAGCUGCUCACCAUGCAGUUGGUGGAUUGGCAUCAGCUCCAAGCAGACUCCUUCAUCCAGGAUGAGAGACUGCGCAUCUUUGCUCUGUUGGCUGGAAAACCGGUGUGGCAGCUCUCAGAAAAUAAGCAAAUAAACGUGUGCUCCCAGUUGGAUUGGAAACGCUCCCUGGCUAUCCAUCUUUGGUAUUUGCUUCCACCAACAGCCUCCAUUUCUAGGGCGCUUAGCAUGUAUGAAGAAGCAUUUCAGGUAUAUGUGGCCAAUAGAGCCAAGCAAAAAUCUUGCUGGGUGUUAAAGUAUUGUCAAAUUGAAGCGGAGCCAGGAAAUCUGAUGGGAAACUAUCCUUUAUUCCUUCCUCUGGACAAGGCUACUUCUCCAAGUGUCGUUUUUAUUUUAUUUAAUAUCAUGAGAUUCCACAGUUGA